UCAUUUCAAAAACAACGAAAAUAGGUUUAUGGUUUCUGUUGUUGGUUUUACCCUAAACCCAAGAGACUAACUUCUUCCUUCAUGAUGCUUUAUCUCCCCCUUCAUGUUGCUCUUUGUCCAGCUUCCAUCAUCUUCUCUAUUGGGUCUCAUGUUCACUGUCGGCCUCCUACCUCCGUUGUCCACCUCCCACCCGCCACUUUUUCCCCCCAAGAUCGUUCUCCUUCGCCACAUUUGCACUUCCCUUAGCUCACAAUAACUCUGCGCAGCCACAACCCAAACACAUUCACUGCCCUUUGUCAUCUCCUCGUUUUCCCUACACCAGUCAGCCACUAGAGACGAUGGCAUCGAACCUUGCAACUUCGUCAUCUUUUGUUACAAAAUGACAUCAUUGCCCUUCUCCAACAUCCUCUCCGCACCAUCGCAUGUUCAUGCAUCACCGAUGAUGCUAAAUCUGACUCUGCGUGUGUGUGAAACCGUCGGUUCUUUCGCCACCCUUGUCGUCACCUCUGAUGUCAUUUGCAACGUGGUGGAAUCAGAGUUGACGUGGGCCAUUGAGUGCUACUACAACAGCAAAGUCAUUGGGGUUGGAUUUGUGGUGAGAAGGAUGAAUAGGGCACUCGGGAACAUGUCUUGAUUCUUGUUAAUUUUAGGUCAAACUUUUCUUUUUGAUUCUUGUUUGAGAUCUCUUGGAUUUUAGUAUUAAUUUCUUCUAGGAUUUUUAGUUUCCCUUGUUGAUCUUCAUUUCUUGUGUUGAUUCUUG
rnacentral:lncRNA from 1 species